GACGCUAAAGCUCGAAGGUGCGGGUAUCGAACAGGAUUAGAUACCCUGGUAGUCCGCACGGUAAACGAUGGAUGCCCGCUGUUGGCGAUACAUUGUCAGCGGCCAAGCGAAAGCGUUAAGCAUCCCACCUGGGGAGUACGCCGGCAACGGUGAAACUCAAAGGAAUUGACGGGGGCCCGCACAAGCGGAGGAACAUGUGGUUUAAUUCGAUGAUACGCGAGGAACCUUACCCGGGCUUGAACUGCAGGAGAAGGAUCCAGAGAUGGUGACGUCCUUCGGGACUCCUGUGGAGGUGCUGCAUGGUUGUCGUCAGCUCGUGCCGUGAGGUGUCGGCUUAAGUGCCAUAACGAGCGCAACCCCUUUCAUUAGUUGCCAUCAGGUAAUGCUGGGCACUCUGGUGAUACUGCCACCGUAAGGUGCGAGGAAGGUGGGGAUGACGUCAAAUCAGCACGGCCCUUACGUCCGGGGCUACACACGUGUUACAAUGGGUGGUACAGAGAGCUGGCCCUGCGCAAGCCGGGCCGAAUCAUGAAAGCCAUCCUCAGUUCGGAUUGGGGUCUGCAACCCGACCCCAUGAAGCUGGAUUCGCUAGUAAUCGCG
rnacentral:rRNA from 1 species